AAUUUGAAAAUAAAUUCUUUAAAACUUUGAAUUAAUUGAAUCUACACUGAAGCAAUACAGACCGAAGUCUUGUGCUCAAAUCACUUCAAUGUUAUCUCGCUCACGAAUGAAGAUGCCUUGAGUGACAGUCCCCAAUGCGGCUUUGGAUUGGCAACGUUAAAACAUUCCAACAUACAAGGAGAAAGAUAUAACAACUCCGAAACGACAUAUCUACAAGUUCGUUACCGCACAGUUGACCUGCGAAACCGCGUUAUGUUCGAAGCAGGAUCAUCUUGAAGUGCUCCAUAGAACCAACGCAUGUGAUCCGUGUUGAGCGGACAUACGCCAUCUACUCCGAGCUAUAUACGAGUAUGCUGGUACAAAGCUGUCUUCGUGAACCGUUGAUAAUAUCAACGUUGAUAAUAUCUCGGUAUGACGUCAUGGUACGUAUGACGUCGCUUAUAGCUGGUUCUAUGAGCAAAUAAUGAUUAAGAAUAUUACGCGAAACGAAAGAAUUACCGAAGGAAGAAAAUACGAAGAAAAGAGACCAAGAUGGAAUAGAAAGAUUAAGACCGAAGAUGGAGCCAUAGCAUACCCAGACUAAGAUUUAUUCUUAGUCGAUGUAAAUACUAACUUAUGUGAGCUGUAGCAUAAAAA